rnacentral:rRNA from 1 species
UACGUAGGGUGCGAGCGUUUGUCCGGAAUUAUUGGGCGUAAAGAGCUCGUAGGCGGUGUGUCACGUCGGCCGUGAAAACCUGCAGCUUAACUGUGGGCGUGCGGUCGAUACGGGCAUCACUGGAGUUCGGCAGGGGAGACUGGAAUUCCUGGUGUAGCGGUGAAAUGCGCAGAUAUCAGGAGGAACACCUGUGGCGAAGGCGGCUUUCUGGGCCUUACCUGACGCUGAGACGCGAAAGCGUGGGGAGCGAACCGG